AGAAAAGUAAGCUAAUUCAAAGCUAAUGGGUUCAUACCCCAUUUAUAGAGUAAUUCUCUCUUCUCUA
rnacentral:tRNA from 1 species